rnacentral:rRNA from 1 species
GACGAACGCUGGCGGCGUGCCUAAUACAUGCAAGUAGAACGCACAGUUUAUACCGUAGCUUGCUACACCAUAGACUGUGAGUUGCGAACGGGUGAGUAACGCGUAGGUAACCUGCCUGGUAGCGGGGGAUAACUAUUGGAAACGAUAGCUAAUACCGCAUAAUAUUAAUUAUUGCAUGAUAAUUAAUUGAAAGGUGCAAUUGCACCACUACCAGAUGGACCUGCGUUGUAUUAGCUAGUAGGUGAGGUAACGGCUCACCUAGGCGACGAUACAUAGCCGACCUGCAAGGGUGGGCGGCCACACUGGGACUGGGACACGGCCCAGACUCCUACGGGAGGCAGCAGUAGGGAAUCUUCGGCAAUGGGCGAAAGUCUGACCGAGCAACGCCGCGUGAGUGAAGAAGGUUUUCGGGUCGUGAAGCUCUGUUGUAAGAGAAGAACGGGUGUGAGAGUGGAAAGUUCACACUGUGACGGUAUCUGACCAGAAAGGGACGGCUAACUACGUG